rnacentral:rRNA from 1 species
GACGAACGCUGGCGGCGUGCCUAAUACAUGCAAGUAGGACGCAGUUGCGAACGUGUGAGUAACGCGUAGGUAACUGCCUAUUAGAGGGGGAUAACUAUUGGAAACGAUAGCUAAUACCGCAUACUAGUAGAUGGACCUGCGUUGUCUUAGCUAGUCGGUGGGGUAAUGGCCUACCUAGGCGACUAGACAUAACCGACCUGAGAGGGUGAACGGGCACACUGGGACUGGGACACGGGCCAGACUCCUACGGGAGGCAGCAGGAGGGAAUCUUCGGCAAUGGGGGGAACCCUGACCGAGCAACGCCGCGUGAGUGAAUAAGGUUUUCGGAUCGUAAAGCUCUGUUGUUAAGGAAGCGGUACUUAACCAGAAAGGGACGGCUAACUACGUGCCAGCCGCCGCGGUAAUUC